rnacentral:snRNA from 1 species
UAGUCCAUUGGAGAGAAGACC